rnacentral:rRNA from 1 species
CAAUAGCGUAUAUUUAAGUUGUUGCAGUUAAAAAGCUCGUAGUUGGAUUUCGGGUUGGCUUCAGCGGUCUCGCUUUGCGUUUGUACUGCCGCAGCCUUCCUUCUUGCUGGGGACGGUCCUCCGGGCUUCAUUGCUUGGGGUCUGGAAUCAGCGACGUUACUUUGAGUAAAUUAGAGUGUUCAAAGCAAGCCUACGCUCUGAAUAUAAUAGCAUGGGAUAACACGACAGGACUCUGGCCUAUCGGGUUGGUCUGUAGGACCAGAGUAAUGAUUAAGAGGGACAGUCGGGGGCAUUCGUAUUCCGUUGUCAGAGGUGAAAUUCUUGGAUUUACGGAAGACGAACAUCUGCGAAAGCAUUUGCCAAGGAUGUUUUCAUUGA